rnacentral:lncRNA from 1 species
CUACUUGAUUGGAUAGUCGGUAGGACGUUGAGGAAGUAGUGGCUUUAUGCCGAAUGCCGAACAUCGUCAGCCAGUCGAAGGUAGCCCAUCGAACCAGGAUGGAUAGAUGCCGACCUAAAUAGGCCCAUUGACUGUAGUCGGUUAAGCAUCGAUUGGAGUAAACUUGAUUGAUCCAGGUUGGGUUGAGUCACAGCAAUUUGGUCGGUAUAGUGUAUUUGGUCGGUCGGGA